rfam:Clunio marinus genome assembly, contig: CLTMA_superscaffold_6
CUAGGUUAUGGUGAUAUGGUGCCAGAGACAAUUGCUGGAAAGAUUGUUGGUGGAGUAUGUUCAUUGAGUGGUGUGCUUGUGAUCGCUCUUCCCGUUCCUGUCAUUGUAUCAAAC